GAUGAACGCUGGCGGCGUGCUUAACGCAUGCAAGUCGAACGAAGCACUUUAUUUGAUUUCCUUCGGGACUGAUUAUUUUGUGACUGAGUGGCAGACGGGUGAGUAACGCGUGGGUAACCUGCCUUGUACAGGGGGAUAACAGUUGGAAACGGCUGCUAAUACCGCAUAAGCGCACAGCAUCGCAUGAUGCAGUGUGAAAAACUCCGGUGGUAUAAGAUGGACCCGCGUUGGAUUAGCUAGUUGGUGAGGUAACGGCCCACCAAGGCGACGAUCCAUAGCCGACCUGAGAGGGUGACCGGCCACAUUGGGACUGAGACACGGCCCAAACUCCUACGGGAGGCAGCAGUGGGGAAUAUUGCACAAUGGGCGAAAGCCUGAUGCAGCGACGCCGCGUGAGCGAAGAAGUAUUUCGGUAUGUAAAGCUCUAUCAGCAGGGAAGAUAAUGACGGUACCUGACUAAGAAGCACCGGCUAAAUACGUG
rnacentral:rRNA from 1 species